UAAAACAAAGCAUUGCGA
rnacentral:snRNA from 1 species